rnacentral:lncRNA from 1 species
CCCAGGCUCACAGUGUUAUUUGUGAAAAUGGCCAGCAUGAGGAAUUAUUAAUUAAAGCUAACAAAUCACCCUGACGAGCUGGGCCCUGGCAUGGCUGAAGGUUGAUUGGCGAAAGUGUUCUCCUUUGGAGAAAAGACUUUUUGUGCUCGUGACGCAGUCAGGGACGGAUUAUUGAAUAUGCAAGUUAGAAGAAAAAUCACAGGACAAGCAAAUUGAGUAUUUACUGGCAAAUAAUUGCUCUCUUAAGCUGUGGCUCUCUUCCUAAAAUUCUUAACAUUCCCGAGGGUUAGAAAGAAACUCAGAAAAAUGCAUCGAUACAGAGUACAUUUCAAAAAAAAUACAUAGACUGAUGUUUCAGACUUGUGCAGAAUGUGUUGCCAUCAAUAACUCGAUAUUCCUCACAACAUUGCUGGCUGAGUUUUCUGUGGAAAAGCAGGAAAAGAGAAGUGGAGGAGGAAGGACUCCCUCCAUACCCUGUGCUAAACCUACCAGGUGUCACUGUUUCAGUGGGAGUCUGGAAAGAAACUGUCAGAGGACACAUCUGAACCUUGUUCCUUGACCAUCAGAUUGUCAGCUACCCCUUCUCUUUAUAUGCCGCAGCUCUCUGUUCCCUGCCCCAAUGAACAUCUGCACUAGGCCCAAGCCUUGGAGUGACUUACCUGAAGAGUGACACCAUUUAUUUGGAAACUACUGUAAGUACAUUAUGCCUCCAAUGAAAAGCUCCUUAGUUCACUUCGUUUAGUUAAAAAAAAAAAUACACAGAC